rnacentral:rRNA from 1 species
CUGUGACCCCAGGUCA